rnacentral:rRNA from 1 species
AAUUUUUAAAUUAUUAUUUUUUUUAAUUAAUCUUUUAUUAAAAUAAAUAAAUUAAUUUUAAUUAUUUAAUAUGAAAAAAUAAGUUUUAAUUAUAGUAUAUUAAUAUUGAAAAAGAAUUAAAUAUUUAUUUUUAAGAAAAAUUUAUUUUUUGUACCUUGUGUAUCAGGGUUUAUUAAUAAAGAAAUUUGAAUAAAUUUAUCUCGAAUUUAAAAGAGCUAAAAGGUUAUAUUUUUUAUUGUGGAAUAAAUAUUAUUAAUAAUUUUUUAGUAAUGAAAUGUUAAUCGUUUUUAAAAAUAUCUAGUUUUUUAAGAAAUAAAUUUAAUUUAUUUAUUAUUAAUAAAAAGUUAAAUUUUUAAUUUUUUAUUAAUAAUAUUUAAUAUUUUUAGGGAUGAGCUUAAAAAUAUAUUUUUAUAUAUUUAUAAAUUAAAUAAAAUUGUAGAAUUAAAAUUUUUUAUCAAUAAAAAAAUGUUAAAAUUAAUUUAUAAUAAUAUAUUAUUUUUAUAUUUGUAUUAAAUUUUUUAUUAAAAUAUUAAUUUAAAUUUUUUAAAUUAAGUAAUGAUGAUAAAAUUAGUAUAAAUAUAUAUAAAAAUAUUGAUUAACUUUAGUUUAAUUAAAGGAAUUCGGCAAAUUAUUUUUUACCUGUUUAUUAAAAACAUGUCUUUUUGAGUAUAAUUUAAAGUCUAGCCUGCCCAAUGAUUAAUUUAAUGGCCGCGGUAUCUUGACCGUGCUAAGGUAGCAUAAUCAAUAGUUUUUUAAUUGAAAGCUGGAAUGAAGGGUUGGAUAAAAAAGUAGCUGUCUUUAUUUAAUUUAAUUAGAAUUUUAUUUUUAAGUUAAAAAGCUUAAAUUUUAUUAAAAGACGAGAAGACCCUAUAGAGUUUUAUAAUUAUUUUUAUUAAUAUUUUAAGAAUUUAUUUUAUUAAUAAAAAUAAUUAUUAAAUUGGGGUGAUUGAAAAAUUUAAUUAACUUUUUUUAUAUAUUUACAUUUAUAAGUGAUUAAUUGAUCCAUAUUUAAUGAUUAUAAGAUUAAAUUACCUUAGGGAUAACAGCGUUAUUUUUUUUAAGAGUUCAAAUCGAAAAAAAAGAUUGCGACCUCGAUGUUGGAUUAAAAUUAAUUUUUGGUGUAGGAGCUAAAAAAUUAGGUCUGUUCGACCUUUAAAAUUUUACAUGAUCUGAGUUUAAACCGGUGUAAGCCAGGUUGGUUUCUAUCUUUAAUAUAUAGUUAUACUUUAGUACGAAAGGAUUAAGUAUAA